AAUCCAUGCAACACUGGAACAGUUGUGUGAGGAGGUAGCAGGGCUGGAAUCCAUGCAACACUGGAACAGUUGUGUGAGGAGGUAGCAGGGCUGGAAUCCAUGCAACACUGGAAACGUUGUGUGAGGAGAUAGCAGGGCUGGAAUCCAUGCAACACUGGAACAGUUGUGUGAGGAGGUAGCAGGGCUGGAAUCCAUGCAACACUGGAAACGUUGUGUGAGGAGGUAUCAGGGCUGGAAUCCAUGCAACACUGGAACAGUUGUGUGAGGAGGUAGCAGGGCUGGAAUCCAUGCAACACUGGAAACGUUGUGUGAGGAGGUAGCAGGGCUGGAAUCCAUGCAACACUGGAACAGUUGUGUGAGGAGGUAGCAGGGCUGGAAUCCAUGCAACACUGGAAACGUUGUGUGAGGAGGUAGCAGGGCUGGAAUCCAUGCAACACUGGAACAGUUGUGUGAGGAGGUAGCAGGGCUGGAAUCCAUGCAACACUGGAACAGUUGUGUGAGGAGGUAGCAGGGCUGGAAUCCAUGCAACACUGGAACAGUUGUGUGAGGAGGUAGCAGGGCUGGAAUCCAUGCAACACUGGAACAGUUGUGUGAGGAGGUAGCAGGGCUGGAAUCCAUGCAACACUGGAACAGUUGUGUGAGGAGGUAGCAGGGCUGGAAUCCAUGCAACACUGGAACAGUUGUGUGAGGAGGUA